UGGAUCGAUGAUGACCACUGGUGGCGUAGUAUAAGUCAUGGACGAUGACUACAUAUCUGGAAGUCUGAGGUCCGC
ensembl:snoRNA